rnacentral:misc_RNA from 1 species
ACGCAGGGUUCUUUCUCCUUCCGGUUUGUGUCUGUUAAUAGCAUUUUUGCUUUACUUUCAAUUGUAGGAAGCAUUCUUUCCUGUCUAAACUUAAUGUAAUUUUUAGGAGCUUGGACAAGAUAAAGGCUAUAUCAGUGAAACAGUGUUCACCUGUCUCUUUCUAUCAUUUGUGCUGUGGACUUUUCACCCUUUCAUCUGCAAGAGCAAA